rnacentral:rRNA from 1 species
GUUGCUUCGGCGGGAUUGCCCCGGGCGCCUCGUGUGCCCCGGAUCAGGCGCCCGCCUAGGAAACCUAACUCUUGUUUUAUUUUGGAAUCUUCUGAGUAGUUUUUACAAAUAAAUAAAAACUUUCAACAACGGAUCUCUUGGUUCUGGCAUCGAUGAAGAACGCAGCGAAAUGCGAUAAGUAAUGUGAAUUGCAGAAUUCAGUGACUCAUCGAAUCUUUGAACGCACAUUGCGCCCGCCAGUAUUCUGGCGGGCAUGCCUGUUUGAGCGUCAUUUCAACCCUCAUGCCCCUAGGGCGUGGUGUUGGGGAUCGGCCAAAGCCCGCGAGGGACGGCCGGCCCCUAAAUCUAGUCGUGGACCCGUCGUGGCCUCCCCUGCGAAGUAGUGAUAUUCCGCAUCGGAGAGCGACGAGCCCCUGCCGUUAAACCCCCAACUUUCCAA